rnacentral:rRNA from 1 species
GGAUGACGUCAAGUCCUCAUGGCCCUUAUAGGUGGGGCUACACACGUCAUACAAUGGCCGGUACAAAGGGCAGCCAACCCGCGAGGGGGAGCCAAUCCCAUAAAGCCGGUCGUAGUCCGGAUCGCAGUCUGCAACUCGACUGCGUGAAGUCGGAAUCGCUAGUAAUCGUGGAUCAGCAUGUCACGGUGAAUACGUUCCCGGGUCUUGUACACACCGCCCGUCACACCAUGGGAGCGGGUCUCGCCAGAAGUAGGUAGCCUAACCGCAAGGAGGGCGCUUACCACGGCGGGGUUCGUGACUGGGGUGAAGUCGUAACAAGGUAACC